rnacentral:rRNA from 1 species
AUGCUGCGCCAUGGUGUGCUUGUCUUCGUGGAUGAUAUCCUAGUUCACACUAAAGAAAUGGAGGCACACAAGAGGUUGCUGCGUCAGGUCUUUGAGCUCCUACAUCAGCACAGGCUCAAAGCCAAAAUGUCCAAAUGCACCUUUGCGCAGCGAAAAAUCAGUUACUUGGGGCAUAUUAUCAGUGAACAAGGGCUGGCUACAGACAACACAAAAAUCCGGACCGUGCAACAGUGGCAUGUUCCAACCAAUACCAAAGAACUCAAGGGUUUCUUGGGGUUAGUCGGGUACUACAGAAAGUUCGUGCGCUCAUUUGGAGUGAUCAACAAGCCACUUACCAAUCUGCUCAGGAAGAAUACUUUGUUUGUGUGGACACCAGAGGCCAACAAAGCUUUCGUCGCUCUCAAGCAAGCUCUGAUCGAGGCUCCGGUACUGACGCUGCCCAACUUUCAGCAGCAGUUCGUGGUGGAGACGGAUGCAAGUGCCACGGGCAUCGGAGUAGUUCGGAUGCAGACCAACCACCCGGUGGCCUACUUAAGCAAAGCUCUGGCCCCUCGCAACCUGGGACUGUUAGCCUAUGAAUAG